CACGAACCGUACAAACGUUAUUCGGAAUCACUGGGCUUAAAGGGUUUGUAGGCGGCCCUGUAAGUCAUGUGUGAAAUCCCUCGGCUUAACCGGGGAACUGCGUCUGAUACUGGAUGGCUUGAGUUCGGGAGAGGGAUGCGGAAUUCCAGGUGUAGCGGUGAAAUGCGUAGAUAUCUGGAGGAACACCGGUGGCGAAGGCGGCAUCCUGGACCGACACUGACGCUGAGGAGCGAAAGCCAGGGGAGCAAACGGG
rnacentral:rRNA from 1 species